UACGUAGGGUGCGAGCGUUGUCCGGAAUUACUGGGCGUAAAGAGCUCGUAGGUGGUUUGUCGCGUUGUCCGUGAAAACUCACAACUCAAUUGUGGGCGUGCGGGCGAUACGGGCAGACUGGAGUACUGCAGGGGAGACUGGAAUUCCUGGUGUAGCGGUGGAAUGCGCAGAUAUCAGGAGGAACACCGGUGGCGAAGGCGGGUCUCUGGGCAGUAACUGACGCUGAGGAGCGAAGCGUGGGAGCGAACAGG
rnacentral:rRNA from 1 species